rnacentral:rRNA from 1 species
AGAGUUUGAUCAUGGCUCAGGAUGAACGCUAGCGGCAGGCCUAAUACAUGCAAGUCGAACGGGUCGCAAGACUAGUGGCGCACGGGUGCGUAACACGUAGGUAACCUACCUUUUACUGGGGCAUAACGAUGGGAAACCAUCGCUAAUACCGCAUAAGACAGUAGCCUGGCAUCAGGCAGUUGUUAAAGAUUUAUUGGUAAAAGAUGGGCCUGCGGCUGAUUAGCUAGUUGGUGGUGUAACGGACCACCAAGGCCAUGAUCAGUAGGGGUUCUGAGAGGAAGAUCCCCCACACUGGCACUGAGAUACGGGCCAGACUCCUACGGGAGGCAGCAGUAGGGAAUAUUGGGCAAUGGCGGAAACGCUGACCCAGCCAUGCCGCGUGCAGGAAGAAGGCGCUCAGCGUUGUAAACUGCUUUUGCCAGGGAAGAAUGAGCUCUACGGGUAGAGUCAGUGACGGUACCUGGUGAAUAAGCACCGGCUAACUCCGUGCCAGCAGCCGCGGUAAUACGGAGGGUGCAAGCGUUGUCCGGAUUUAUUGGGUUUAAAGGGUGCGUAGGUGGCUUGUUAAGUCUGGGGUGAAAGGCAGUGGCUCAACCACUAGCAGGGCCCUGGAUACUGGCAGGCUCGAGUGCCGUGAGGCGGUGGAACNNNGGUGUAGCGGUGAAAUGCAUAGAUACCAUCCAGAACACCGAUUGCGGAGGCAGCCGGCUAACGCGCAACUGACACUGAGGCACGAAAGCGUGGGGAGCAAACAGGAUUAGAUACCCUAGUAGUCC